GGGGUCUCUACUAUUAGAGUACCAAGCUUGCUGGCCCAAAAUGGUCACCAUUUGCUUCAUGGAUAACUGGCUGGAGAAAAAUAUCUCUUUCUCCAUCAAUUGGAGGAGAAAAGGAUACUUAAUUUUGAAGGCUCUGUGUUGGGCAGCUAUAGAAUAUUUUGUGCUAAAAGUAGUAACUUUUCAAUAUGUUGAAUAUUUAAGACUACUUAAAUACUUAAAGAAUAUUUUGUUGUUGAUGACAAUGUUGAAUGUUUUAAACUAAUUUGUGGAUUGUUAAUACAAUGUUGAAUGUUU